GUGCUCUCACUUCAGCAGCACAUAUACUAAAACUGGAAAGAUAAAGAGAAUAUUAGCACGGCACCUGCACAAGGAUGACAUGCAAAUUCAUGAAGAGUUCCAUAUUAAA